rnacentral:rRNA from 1 species
GGAAACUUGAAUAUUCGUAACUUAAGUACUAACGUCCUAACAGAGGUCCACGUUAUCAGCAAGUUCGUGCACGUCAAAAACCCUCACUUCAGUUUUCUUAUCGAACCAUGAAGACACCAACUCCAAAGUUGUCUAACUAAAGUUGUCUCCCUACGACCACGUCAUUGGUAUAGAUACACGUUCCUUAAGACGAAGAACGUCGACAUCCUGGUACUCUACAGCUGCGAUGUGCUAUCCCCUGUGGUUCCAGGGUCGGUUCAGUCACUACAACGGGGCUGAGGGAUAAAGAAGUCGAACUCCUUCGGGACACCGUCGGACUGAGAGAAGAAGGAUAACAGCAGGAUAGACUGGACGAUGAUCCGUUGAUGAUGAUGAGUGCUAACUAUCUACGAUAGAACGCUUGUUGACUCGUCAGAGCCGAUAUGAAAUUGGGUCUGUAGUUUCUUCGUUUAUCGAACUAUAUACCAAGUCCCUCGAGGCUGCGAACGAGGCUGGUUUCUUCAAAAAGUGUGACCGUGUAUCACCGUAACCGACUCCACAAACAUUGUUUAACAUGUCUAGAACUAAUUAAAACGAGACAAAAAAGGAGGGGGAAUAUGGUAUGAUAUAAUUACUUUUAAACUGGUAUCUUGAUAACAACAUACCAAACACCAAUUUGUUUUUCUUGGUCGUUCCUCCACCUCAAACGCUUCGUGUGCAAGCUGGUACUGUUGGGGUUCGUACACAGGGGUAUGCUGCUCCGCUGGUCCACUUAUGGUGAGUACUCUACACACUCGAGACCGCUUCUCGUACUCAUCUUCGUAUCUUGUGUAAACAGUAAUCCCUGAGCGCUCCUACAACAACGUUGUAUGCCCGAGUAAAUGAAUUUUUAUUUGUCUAAAGUUUUCUGUACACAAUAUAAACUCUCUGCAC